rnacentral:lncRNA from 1 species
UCCCAUUAAAAGGUUACAACAUAAUAAUCAAAUCAAUCCCAGGUAAUCUAAUCUUAAAUAUAUCAAAUGCGGAAACAUAACAUAAUUAAAUAAGUCUGGUAUAUAAACAUCUCAAAUAACAUUAAACAAGUCUUCAUCACUUUUUCAUCGUGCCUUUGCCUUUAUUAGUGGACGGCUCGUCAACCUUUUCAACCUUAGCUGCAUUUUUAUCAUGCAAGAGUUAGCAAACAAUUGCCCACAAGUAUAACAACAAUAAUAAUAAUAACAUGCAAGUAAUCAAUGAGUUCUGAAUAAUAAAAAGUUCGACUUUUGAAUCAAGAUUAGAAAACAAGAAUCAAAAGUACAUAUGAGGGUUACAAGACCAUGAACUAUAUCCUAGGUUAUCAAGUAUUUCUAUUUUAAACACUUAUCAGUCGUAAGACUAUAUGGACCCUACUUUUCAUACUCAGGGAGAUUAGCCUUUCGUACCAUGUAUGUGCACAAACAUAUUAACGUUAUUGCAUAAUAUAAUCCCAUAUAACAGGGUUGUUCAUCUCAGCUUUAACAUCAGAGUCCGCACCAAAGGAAGUUUGGUUUUGAUUAACUUCAAGGGUAAUUUAGAGUUCAAUAAUGAUCAACUAAGGAUUAGUUUAACCAAUCAGAAUUCAUUAGCCUUACAACACGAUAAUGCAAUCGAUAUUUAAAUCAAAGAUUGAAUUUCAACUCUAUACAAUUGAAUGAACAUUGUAUAACAAAAGUAAUACUUCGAAAGAAUUAGUGUGACGCCCCCAAAAUAGGUAUACAUCACCUAUUCUGAGUCGCCAAAUACAUGGUACAGAAUACAAAUACAAUCUUUAAUAUACAACAAGAGAGCUGUGAGUUUUAAUACAACUAUUAUCUUCUAGACAAUAUCCACUCUCGGAAUAAGUCCUCAUUACAUUUAUUAACACAUUAUUUAACAGAAUAGUGAGGACUACUAAUACUAUCAUCUGGACCGUCACUCCGUUCCCCGACUAGUCCCGGCUACGUUCUCAUUUCUUGAAGAGAACAGUGAAAGAAAGGGUGAGCUCAACUAGACAAAAGACAUCAAAUUUAACUGCAGUGGAACAUGCAAUCCAUUAAAAGAGUCAAGUAAGGAAUAAAAUCUACUAUCUUUUAUGAUUUAAAAGGUUUUCAUCACUUUUAUCGCUGAGACUCAGCUUAAUAAAUAAUCCACCUCAUCCCUGCACUACGGCCAAGGAUAUUCAUAAGUAUCACAACCACAAAUUAUCCAUGCACUACGGGCCAAGGAUAUUCGUGUAUUCAUUAAUGGUCAUGAUCAUGCCAACAACUAUCCAUCAAUGCACUACGGGCCAAUGAGGACUUUUACCACAUCAUUUGUAACAUUAUGGUCAUGAUUACACCGAAUAAUCUCUGGUCAUAAUCAUACCAAGUUCAUCUAUGCACUACAGGCCACAGAUGACUUUCAACAAAAUAUAAACAUGAGGAUGAUGACAAUGAUAUAAGAAUUCAAUAAAACAAGUUCAAGAAUUAAUUUAUCCAGGAACUAAUAACGUCCAAAUUGUCAACAUGNNNNNNNNNNNNNNNNNNNNNNNNNNNNNNNNNNNNNNNNNNNNNNNNNNNNNNNNNNNNNNNNNNNNNNNNNNNNNNNNNNNNNNNNNNNNNNNNNNNNUUCCAACAGAAUAAUAAAUAAUGGAAUCAGGUCCGGGUAAAACGCACAGACAGGAUAUUCCAACAUAAUAAUAAAGACGGAACCAAGUCCGGCGUAAAACGCACCGACAGGAUAUUCCAACAGAAUAAUAAAGAAUGGAAUAACAACAAAAAUCACCAAGUAUAGGGUAGACCGCGUAUACAUGUUAUUCCAACAGAAUAAUAAAGAAUGGAAUAACAGAAGUUCUCUUCAUGAAUAUGAAAAAAAAUAAUACCCCUUACCUUAUAAAGAAGAGUACUCCGACGGUAGGGCGGAAAUAUACUUGAAGAAACUUGCACUACGCUCAAAACUUUCUUAAACGCUCAAGAAAUACGCUCAAGAUAGAAGAAUAAUUCUCUCUACAGUUUCUCUCGCUAGAGUUUCAGUGAAUUCGUAAUAAAUAAUGAAGGAAUGAGCUUCUAUUUAUAGAAGAAUGGACUGAAUAGUAACCAAUCCAUGAACGGUCCAGAUCGAUUUACUUUAAACGGACGAUCCAGAUUGGUUUACAAUAAAAUAUAAUAUAUUCUAUUUAUAAUCUAAUAAAACGAAUAACUUUUAAAAAGAUUUUACUAUGCAAACACUAUGCAUAAUAAAAUAUAAUAUAUUCUAAUUAUUGUCUAAUAAAACAGAUAACUUUAUAAAAGUAUUCUAUUUUGUAUAAAAAGAUUUUACUAUUAGCCUAAUAAAACGAAUAACUUUAUAAAAAUAUUCUGUUUUAUAUAAAAAGUUUUUCUGUUUUAUUACAUUAACAAUUCUAAUAAAACAAAACUUCAUCAUCAUUAUUAUUAUUCACACUAUUAAUCGACCAGGUCGUUCCCAGAAAAGAGGGGGUUUUCCAAUAAGAAUUUCUCCCUAUUGACGCGCAAUUAGGUGACCAAACCUCUCCUUGGCAGAACUUCUAGACAUCGUUAAUAAUGCAAAUAAUAAUAUUAAUAACUUUGUCAUCUCAAUUAUUGAUUUAAUAAUAUAUAAUAUAUCGACAAUAAUUGAAUAAAACUGAAUGACUUCUCACGUAAGUAUCAAUAAUCAAUACUGUGUGCUACUAUGCAACCACGCGUAUUCCUGUACUUUUAACACAUGGUGUUUCAAUAGUAACAGUAAAACUUCCGUCGUUAUUUUCAUAAAAAAUAUUUUUGUCGUUUUCUCAAUUCGACAAUAAUUCCGUUGUGGGAUCCACCAAUGAUUGUGCUGUCGUACGAAUAUUCUCUUUUUAAAACGAAUAUUCCCCAACCAAUCGAAUAUUAUAAACAACUUGCGUAUUUUGUAAAAUUUCUAAAUAUUACCCACAACUAUAACAUUAUAUCAAAUUCAUUCCAUAAUAUUUAAAAAUGAUAAUUAUAGAAAAUUCAUCUUUAUUCAUAAAAGUUGGGGUCUUACAAUUAGAAUAUUUCAUUUGGAAUCAUGAACUUGAAUAAUUAAACUUUGAAUAGUUCGAAAUAAGAAUAUGAAACUUGCUCGAUAAUAAUGUUCAAGAACUUGCUCAAUAAAAGUUCAGAGUUAUAGAACUUGCGUAAUUGUCAUCAAGAUAGGGUAAAGAAACUUGCUCAAAGAAAGUUUAGAGUUAGAGAACUUGUCUCGUGCGUAAGCUAUAAAAUUACAGUUCUCGUUCACCUGCACAUACCAUUAGGACCAUAACAUCCAUCAGUUAUACUAACGUCAACCUUACAGGUUUAAUUUCCACUUUAGUUAAUUUAUAACCUUUAGUUUAAGGUCUAACCAUGUUAAUCAACCACAUAACACAAUCUGAAAAUUCCCUAAUAUAUAACAUGAGGUUUAACAUUCAAAUCAUGUUCCAACUCCUAUGAAUUAACAUCAAUUCCCAAUUAUUAAUAACUAGUUAAAUCACAAAUCUUAAGAUUACCAAACUUGAUAUACCAUGUGAUUACAAAACGUUUUUAACAACAUAUAAUAUGACUAAUACCCCUAUAUGUUCAUAAGGGUGUAAACGAGUCGAACCAGAGCGAACAGAGAGUUACUCGAAAUGAUAAAUUCGUACUCGAAUUCGGCUUGAAUUCGAAUUAUAUUUGAAAAAUCCUACUCAGAUUCGACUCGACUCGAAUAUUUAGUACUCGAAUUCGAUCCGACUCGACUCGACUCGAAUAUUUAUUCAAACUACUCGCGAGCUUUAAAUUCAAGCUCUAAUUUGAGUCUCCACAUAAUAAAUAGUUUUGUAAUAAAUAUAAUUAUAAAUUGAAUUUGUUAUUUUACUUAAAAAUGAGAAAAUAUAUUUAUUAUUACACUUUACAAAUAUAAAAUCACAAUUAAAAUUAAAAACAAAACAAAAUAAUAACUAAUUAUCCUAAUUUGAUUUAAAUUUGUAUAUAUUAUAAGAGAAUGUAUCGAACAUCUAAUCGAAUAUGUAUUAACCAAGUAUGUAUCGAAUCACAAUAAAAAAUUAGAAUAGUUUGAAUCUUAAACGAGUCGAGUAUAACAUUGCUCAGAUUCUACUCAUAUUUUUAUUCGAACAAUUUUUAAUGCUCAGAUUUGGAUCAUAUUAUUAACGAAUCUGAGUCUCGCUCGUAUUUUUUCGAGUCGAGCCCGAAUCGAGCCCGAACUGUGUUGACUCGUUUACAGCUUUAUAUGUUCAUUAGAUUAAGUUAUGAUUGUAUCUUCUUGGACUAAACAAGCAAAAUCUCAAAUUGGACCAAACUGCCUACCGACACGACAAUGCCUGUUUUAGCCUUGCUCAUAGCGCGGCAGCGCUACAAACAAACCUUCAAACAUCGCAGCAGCGCUCUAGCUAUACCUUGGAGCGACGCAGUAGCGCCAUUGUACAGAUAGAGUUGCUACAGUUCGCGAAUGAACAUAGAGCAACACCAAAAUAGGCCAAAAACUUCGCUCAAACAACAAAUUAAUCUUACCUAUAAGUUCUGAACUUUAUAGAAACAUUUUACAACAAUCAUAACAUGAUUUUAAACACAUAAAUCAUAUAAACAACUAAAUUUAAACCCAUAAAUUCAAUGUUUUUGUAAAAACUCCAUUUUAGACAUCUUUAAUGAAAUCAACUACUAUGAACUCGUUUUUCAACCAAAUCAGUCCAUAUGAAUUUUCUUCUUUUCAUUUCUUAAUGUAUAAACAUACUCAAGCAUCAAUUUACCGAUUAAUAUACAAAUUAAGCAUCAAGUUUUGUACACAUAAGUCAUAUUCGUACAUUUUUCACUGUAACUCAAAACUCCUUUUCUAAUCAAAAUUUCAUGGAUUAAUUCACCCAAAAAUCGUUUAUAAACAUAACAUAGUAGAUUAUACAUGCAUAUUAACAAUUAUAAUUAACUUUUCAAUAAUUUAAUCAUAAAAAUUUAAUUACAGAGAAUUUAAAAUAACUUUUCAUGGAGAAACUCAUGGAACGUAAAUUAAAGCUUGAAUAUAAAUGUUUACCUUUGCUUUCUUGUUUGGAUUACACAAAGAUGGUAGAAUACUCCUCUUGAUUCCCCAAUUCUCCUUCCUCAAUAUCAAUUUAUCUCAAAAUUUCUCUCUUUUUUUCUCUCUGAGUUUUUUUCAGACUUGUAAAUAUGAACUGACAAUAUAGUGCGUAUAUGAUAUAUUAACUGGCGCGUACAUGGUAGCAGUUAAGCGCAGUAUGGCCUUAACUGCUCCCAUGUUCUUAAGGCCAUGUUUGGCUAGCUUAUUAAAGUCCUUUUCUAAUUUAUUUUAAUUAACUUAUUUAAUAUAUAGUUUAUUUGUCACACUUUAAUUAAUCAAAUUUUAAUAUUUAAAUUCAAUUAAAUUAAAGCCAAUAUUACCCAUUAAAUCAAAUUAUCACAUAAUUAAAAUUCUUGGUUAUUAAUUAAAAUAAAUUAAUAAAUCUUAAAUUAAUUAAUUAGAAUAACAUUAUAAUUAUUAAUAGCUCGAUUAACUUAAUAAUCCCAAUUAAAUUAUAACUUCGAACUAUAAAAUUAUUUCUCAUUAAUUUAAUUAACGUAACAAAUUUAAUUAAAUUAAUCUACGACAAUCUUAUCAAAUAUUUAUUUAACUCCAUAAAUAAAUCACAAAAAUAUUUAUUUAAUUCAAUAAAUAUUUAAAAUAAAAUACAAAAGUCUCGUUCGUUACAACUUUCUCACAUGAUAUAACAAAUUGAAGCCCUAAUUAAUUAACCCUAAACCCUAGUUAAUUAAUUAAAACUCUAGUUAAUAAAAUCGAACUCGUAUUCAUGAGUUUUUUUAACUAUAUGCUACUAAUAGUAUUGGAUGUCGAUUAUCGAUUUCUAAAAAAUCAUAGUCGUUAUUUCUUAUUUUCAAGUGUAUAGAUAUAAGGAUCCAUAGCAAAUGCAUGUCAUGAAUCACUAUAUAUAUAUAUAUAUAUAUAUAUAUAUAUAUAUAUAUAUAUAUAUAUAUAUAUAUAUAUAAGUAAAUAAAAUAUACAAUAUUUAAUUAUUAUUAUUUUUUGUUAAAUUGUUGUUAACUUUAUGGAAAAUAAUAACAAUAUCUUUGUGAAAAUUUAUUCAAGACCUAAUUAUAAUUGUAAUUGUGUAAUAUAUGGUAUUAAAUUAACAAAUUAUCAAAUGGUAUUAUGUUUUUAUGUAAUUUUGCGUGUUGCUACUUCUACUAGCACCAUGAUUUUUAAAAGGUUUAUUCAUGACCUUUAUGUUACGUUUGGAUUGAAAGAAUGAAAUAAAUAGUGAAAUGAUUCAUUCUAUUCUAGUUGAAAUGAGUUAUUCCAUACUCUUCCUCCCCAAGAAAUAAAAUUUAUAAAUUUGGGAUGAAUAAGAAUAGUUCAAUCUAUUACAAUCGCAAUCAAACACAAUUUUUUUCAUUCUAUAGGAAUAAUUAAUUCUAUUCUCACAUUCAUUACUCCAAUCCAAACGUAGCAUUAGAUCAUGUUAUGGACGGUGAAGGAUCUAGUUGUUGGAAUGUUGGGAUAGUAUUUUCAACAACCAUUAAUUUGUUAUAAUCCAUUUCUGAUGCAUACCUUUUAUUUUACAUACCCUGCUCACCAUAUCAGGCGACGUUCGAUACGUCGCUAUAGAACAAAUAAAUGAUUUAUAUGUUAUGGCGACGGUUGAAUGCGUCGCUAAAAAAUAAGACGACGGUUCUUUGAUAUACGCGAUGGACCGAACUGUCGUCUGGUCCGUCGCUAAAGAUGAUGAGCAAGAUACGUUAAAUAAAAGGGUAUGCAUCCGUGUGUGUAUAUGUGUGUGUGUUGUGCCUAGUGGCCUACCACGUUAACAUUCGCCCAUGUGGCAUGGAUUAACAAUGUUAGCUUAACACGUUUCUUUUUUGUCACGAUCACGGUCUCCUCUGCUUCUGUUCGAAUCCAAAUGAAUACCACCAUAUAUAAACUCUCAUUCGGUGAGACAACGAAAUCCAAAUGCAUAGCACCAUAAACUUUCACUUGGUCAGUACGUAGGUCACACAUUGACACAAAUAUAAAAAUAAGAUUCUUUGUUUUGUUUACAUAGUAUGUAUUCCUUCCAUUUCAUUUUUUUAAUUAUUGUUGUUAAUUUGUACUACAAACAAAUAAAUUUAUAUCGAUGUUGUGAAUCAACUUAAAAAGUCAAAGAACUCAGGCUUGCGUCCAGAAUUUUGAAUUGUGCACAGAUAAAGAGUUAGUCACGUAUGUUAGAUUUGUAGUCUAUACAUAGCCAGCCACAGGUUCUGAAAGCUAUUGCUUAACAUGAGGAAUUAAUUUCAAUCUAUAAAUCAUUUCCAAUGUCUACUUGGAAGAAGAAGGAUAAAAAAUUUCAAUCGAAUACAUGCAUGUGAUCUGCUGCUAUAUAUGUACCGGCCUUUAAGCCAAAUUAAAGCUGUCUCUGCCCCAUUUUCCACACUCUUCGAUAAUAAUUAGUCAAAAGUAUCACAACAGGUGAUCAGAAAUAUAUAAGGCUGUACUUGUAUAUAUGUGUAGCUAGCUAGUAAGCUGAAAAUAAGUCUUCACACUGAAAUUGUAUUGAUUAAUUCUGUUUUGGUUAGAUGGCCGGAUUUGCAAGUUUCUUACAAUAUAUUCUCUAUAUAUGCUUAAUUUGCUUGCAUGUUUUUUUGUCUGUCAUACCACGUACAACUAGUGCAUUUUUUUAAACUGUACUCAUGCAAUAGCAAGUAUUUCAUCAAACAUAAGCUAUAUAUUAACUUUAAUUCUUUUUAUUUAAUUAUAUUAACUUAUCAAAUAUAUAUUGAGGUUUCUACGUACAAUUAACAAACCAAAGUGAACCAGCUAAUAUUGAUCAAAAGUUAUGAAGAUGAUUAGCGUACCUACCUCAACCUGUUAUAUAUGGAAGAAGUCUGUGAUCUGUCAGGUCGGGACAGGACACUAUAUAUCGUCGUCCACCUCAUGAUUCUCUUUCUCAAGAUCGGAUAUGGCCAUUAAAACACUCGAUCUCUUCCUUAAUUUUGAGCAACAUUGACCUCCAUAUCGCGAGGUUUAUACGUACGAUGAUGUUUAAUUUACCUGUAUUUCCUCGAUCUACAAGUACGUACGUACGGCAACUGAUCAGCAUCCAACUUUCUGAUUAUAUAGUUGCAUGUCCUAAUACAUAUAUACCCUGCUUGCCGCUCGCUCUUCGAUCUCCAAUUUAAU